GAAGCCCUUCGGGUUGUAAAGCACUUUCAGCGGGGAGGAAGGGAGCAGACUUAAUACGUCUGUUCAUUGACGUUACCCGCAGAAGAAGCACCGGCUAAUUCCGUGCCAGCAGCCGCGGUAAUACGGAGGGUGCAAGCGUUUAUUGGAAUGACUGGGCGUAAAGCGCACGCCGGCGGUUUGUUAAGUUGGAUGUGAAAUCCCCCGGGCUUAACCUGGGAACUGCAUUCAAAACUGACAGGCUAGAGUCUUGUAGAGGGGGGUAGAAUUCCAGGUGUAGCGGUGAAAUGCGUAGAGAUUUGGAGGAAUACCGGUGGCGAAGGCGGCCCCCUGGACGAAGACUGACGCUCAGGUGCGAAAGCGUGGGGAGCAAACAGGAUUAGAUACCCUGGUAGUUCACGCUGUAAACGAAGUCGAUUUGGAGGUUGUGCCCCUGAGGCGUGGCUUCCGGAGCUAACGCGUUAAAUCGACCGCCUGGGGAGUACGGCCGCAAGGUUAAAACUCAAAUGAAUUGACGGGGGCCCGCACCAGCGGUGGAGCAUGUGGUUUAAUUCGAUGCAACGCGAAGAACCUUACCUACUUUUGACAUCCAGAGAAGCCUGCAGAGAUGCGGGUGUGCCUUCGGGAGCUUUGAGACAGGUGCUGCAUGGCCGUUGUCAGCUCGUGUUGUGAAAUGUUGGGUUAAGUCCCGCAACGAGCGCAACCCUUAUCCUUUGUUGCCAGCACGUUAUGGUGGGAACUCAAGGGAGACUGCCGGUGAUAAACCGGAGGAAGGUGGGGAUGACGUCAAGUCAUCAUGGCCCUUACGAGUAGGGCUACACACGUGCUACAAUGGCGUAUACAAAGAGAAGCGACCUCGCGAGAGCAAGCGGACCUCAUAAAGUACGUCGUAGUCCGGAUUGGAGUCUGCAACUCGACUCCAUGAAGUCGGAAUCGCUAGUAAUCGUAGAUCAGAAUGCUACGGUGAAUACGUUCCCGGGCCUUGUACACACCGCCCGUCACACCAUGGGAGUGGGUUGCAAAAGAAGUAGGU
rnacentral:rRNA from 1 species